rnacentral:snRNA from 1 species
UUUGUCUCAAGACGGUGAAU